rnacentral:tRNA from 1 species
GGCUUGCUGGUCUAGUGGUAGAUUCUCGCUUUGGGUGCGAGAGGUCACGGGUUCGAUUCCCGUGCAAGCCC